AUGCUGCUGACCGCGGUGUCCCUGAGCGCCGUCGCCACCAACGGGCUGGACCCCGGGGGCGGGGCCCUGGCGCUGCUGUCGGGGGCGCUGGGCCCCGAGGCCGGGGGGGCCGUGGGGGUCUGCGGCUUCCUGAGCUCCGCCCCCGCCGCCGCCGCCGCCGCGCUGCAGGACUGGCUAUGGCCACCACUACUUCCGGGUUCCGUCACUUCAUUCUCCCGCCGAUCAGCGCCGCAAAACUGAGCCUCUUCUAUAAGGCAGCCGGCAGCCAACCUGCCAACACUUACUGACACUCACUCAUCCCAGGGAGUGAGGGAGAGAGGGAGACAAAAUACCUGCCG